rnacentral:rRNA from 1 species
UCGGACCGGCGCACGGGUGCGUAACGCGUAUGCAACCUACCUUUAACAGGGGGAGUAACACUGAGAAAUUGGUACUAAUACCCCAUAAUAUCAUAGAAGGCAUCUUUUAUGGUUGAAAAUUCCGAUGGUUAGAGAUGGGCAUGCGUUGUAUUAGCUAGUUGGUGGGGUAACGGCUCACCAAGGCGACGAUACAUAGGGGGACUGAGAGGUUAACCCCCCACACUGGUACUGAGACACGGACCAG